rnacentral:sRNA from 1 species
AUCCUACCCUGGAUCACCACUGGCAUCUCUGGAAGAAAACCUAUGGCAAACAAUACAAGGAAAAGAAUGAAGAAGCAGUACGACGUCUCAUCUGGGAAAAGAAUCUAAAGUUUGUGAUGAUUCACAACCUGGAGCAUUCAAUGGGAAUGCACUCAUAUGAUCUGGGCAUGAACCACCUGGGAGAUAUGACCAGUGAAGAAGUGAUGUCUUUGAUGAGUUCCCUGAGAGUUCCCAGCCAGUGGCAGAGAAAUAUCACAUAUAAGUCAAACCCUAAUCGGAUAUUGCCUGAUUCUGUGGACUGGAGAGAGAAAGGGUGUGUUACUGAAGUGAAAUAUCAAGGUUCUUGUGGUGCUUGCUGGGCUUUCAGUGCUGUGGGGGCCCUGGAAGCACAGCUGAAGCUGAAAACAGGAAAGCUGGUGUCUCUCAGUGCCCAGAAUCUGGUGGAUUGCUCAACUGAAAAAUAUGGAAACAAAGGCUGCAAUGGUGGCUUCAUGACAACGGCUUUCCAGUACAUCAUUGAUAACAAGGGCAUCGACUCAGACGCUUCCUAUCCCUACAAAGCCAUGGUGUCUACUAUGAACCAUCCUGUACUCAGAAUGUGAAUCAUGGUGUACUUGUGGUUGGCUAUGGUGAUCUUAAUGGGAAAGAAU